ensembl:snRNA U6 U6 spliceosomal RNA
GUGCCCAUUUUGGUAGCACAUAUACUAAAAUUGGAAUGAUACAGAGAAGAUUAGCAUGGCCCCUUCACAAGGAUGACACACAAAUUUGUGAAGCAUUCCAUAUUUUU